rnacentral:rRNA from 1 species
AGUGAACGCUGGCGGUAGGCUUAACACAUGCAAGUCGAACGGCAGCACAGUAAGAGCUUGCUCUUCCGGGUGGCGAGUGGCGGACGGGUGAGGAAUAUAUCGGAAUCUACUUUUUCGUGGGGGAUAACGUAGGGAAACUUACGCUAAUACCGCAUACGCCCUACGGGUGAAAGCAGGGGAUCUUCGGACCUUGCGCGAUUGAAUGAGCCGAUGUCGGAUUAGCUAGUUGGCGGGGUAAAGGCCCACCCAGGCGACGAUCCGUAGCUGGUCUGAGAGGAUGGUCGGCGACACUGGAAGUUGAACGCGGUCCAGAGUCCUGCGAGAGGCAGCAGUUGGGAAUAUUGGGCAAUGGGGGCAAGCCUGAUCCAGCCAGACCGCGUGGGUGAAAAAGGCCCUCGGGUUGUGAAGCCCGUUUGUUGGGAAAGAAAAGCAGCAGCUUAAUACCCCGCUGUACUGACGGUACCCAAAGAAUAAGCACCGGCUAACUUCGUG